AUUUUGUUUGGUAGUAACAGGGGUCUUUUGAGUCACAGCUUCUGUGUCACCCUGAUGGCACAUGGCCCACAUGAAGCCAUAGCAUAAAAAUAACUGUGGGGCAUGGUUAUAGCAAAGAAUAAUUGAAGGCCCAGAAACCUAUAAUCCAGAAUAAAUUUUGGCUUGCCAUUCAGUGUGUUCUCUAUUCAUUACUAUUCAGUGGAAGUGCCAUACACACAAACAAUAAAAAGUUUACUCUUGGUACUAGAAUUCUCACCUGCAAGAAGGCAAAACAGCCUAAAGUGGAGAAAAAAAUAACUGCUGGAAUGAAUAUUUAAUGACUUCUUCAAGAAGUUAGCACAGGAAGGGAGAAGAACAAAGUUUGCCCUUCAAAGACUGCUCUUGUAUAAGACCAGCUACAUUGAUAGAAUACCACAGAAACAAAAGAAAACUUCCACAGUCAAGUGCUGCUUGCUUGGGCUGCUUUGUUCCUCAGAAGUCCUUUUUCAGGCAGCACCUCAUUGCUGCAACAAAUUAAUCACCAAAGCCCAGGUCUGGUAAUGAAGUGCUAUGGAUUUGAAAGAGUUUGAAAGACAUCUACAUCUAUUACCUGAAAGAAAAAUGAGACUUGCUCUGCUCAAGCUCCACAUCCCUCUGGACAGGAAGAGUCAGCAACUCCUCUGUAAAGUGGUGUUAGUCCAAACGCCUUCUCGUGAAGAUGGAUCAAGUGCAAGAAAUCAUCCACAACCAAAUAGAACAGCUCACUUCGGGCAGAAUGGAUACUUUGAGACUGAGAUGGAGUUUGGCCCUGACGCAGGAGCUCAGUUAUGGCAAUUUUGCUCUGAAUCCCUGAAGUUACCCUAUUUUUCUUUCAAUUAAAAUUACUGCAACAGAAAGCAGAAUCAAUGCCAAGUAGAUUGUAUUACUGACACAGCAAUUGGGAGCUCAUAGCAAAAAUGCAUCCCCUACCCUUUUAUUGGAAAUUUAUCUCCCAGCAAUAAAGAA